GUGCUCACUUUGACAGCACAUAUACUAAAAAUGGAAUGAUCAGAGAGGAUUAGCAUGGUCCCUGCGCAAAGAUGACACACAAAGACAUGAAGUGUUCCAUUUAAAA
ensembl:snRNA U6 U6 spliceosomal RNA